AUGCCCCUCGCACGCCAGAGAAUCGAACGACAAAAAACCUACGAAGAAAAACCAACGAAAAAACGCCAGAGAAUCGAACGACAAAAAACCUACGAAGAAAAACCAACGAAAAAAAACCCUCGAGCUCCGACGGGAACGAGGCUCCCCUUGAUCUCAAACAACGCUAGGGUUUGCCCAGCCGCCACGCUCCGCGCUGCCGCCCAAGGCCCGCUCCGCCCCCACCGCUCCCCGCAACGCCACUGCCGGAGGGCCGGCCGGCGAAGCCGCGCCGCGCCCAGGGACGGCAGCGUUGGGGCGGUUCCGUCUCCCUACCUCCUGCCAGAGCCCCCACCCCACCAUACGUAG
rnacentral:rRNA from 1 species